rnacentral:RNase_P_RNA from 23 species
UGAGACCUCUUGAUGGCCGCGGCCGUGAUCUUCAUUGGGAUCGGCUGAGGAACUUCCGGGCUCCAUAGAGCACGAUGGCGGAUAACGUCCGCCCAGGGUGACCUGAGAGAUAGCGCAACAGAGAACAGACCGCCCGUCCUCGACGGGUAAGGGUGAAACGGCGGUGUAAGAGACCACCGGGCCUCUGGUAACAGUAGGUCGCAUGGCAAGCCUCAUCGGGAGCAAGGCCAAGCAGAUGGCGGUAAGGGCUGCUCGCCCGUGUCAUCGGGUAGGCUGCUAGAGCCUGGCGGUAACGUCAGGUCGAGAUGGAUGGCCAUCCGUGCCGUGCGUUCGCGCACGGCACGACAGAACCCGGGGUAUAAGAGGUCUCAUUUU